GCGGGGGAGAACACCCGGAAACAGAGGCUAAUACCGCAUAACAACUUGGACCGCAUGGUCCGAGUUUGAAAGAUGGCUUCGGCUAUCACUUUUGGAUGGUCCCGCGGCGUAUUAGCUAGAUGGUGGGGUAACGGCUCACCAUGGCAAUGAUACGUAGCCGACCUGAGAGGGUAAUCGGCCACAUUGGGACUGAGACACGGCCCAAACUCCUACGGGAGGCAGCAGUAGGGAAUCUUCCACAAUGGACGAAAGUCUGAUGGAGCAACGCCGCGUGAGUGAAGAAGGGUUUCGGCUCGUAAAACUCUGUUGUUAAAGAAGAACAUAUCUGAGAGUAACUGUUCAGGUAUUGACGGUAUUUAACCAGAAAGCCACGGCUAACUACGUGCCAGCAGCCGCGGUAAUACGUAGGUGGCAAGCGUUGUCCGGAUUUAUUGGGCGUAAAGCGAGCGCAGGCGGUUUUUUAAGUCUGAUGUGAAAGCCUUCGGCUCAACCGAAGAAGUGCAUCGGAAACUGGGAAACUUGAGUGCAGAAGAGGACAGUGGAACUCCAUGUGUAGCGGUGAAAUGCGUAGAUAUAUGGAAGAACACCAGUGGCGAAAGCGGCUGUCUGGUCUGUAACUGACGCUGAGGCUCGAAAGUAUGGGUAGCAACAGAUUAGAUACCCUGGUAGUCCAUACCGUAACGAUGAAUGCUAGUGUUGGAGGGUUUCGCCCUUCAGUGCUGCAGCUACGCAUAGCAUCCGCCUGGGGAGUACGCCGCAGCUGAACUCAA
rnacentral:rRNA from 2 species